rnacentral:tRNA from 1 species
GGGCCGAAGCCUUUUGGUUACCGGCUCAUAACCGGCAGGUUGCGGGUUCAAGUCCCGCCCGGUCCU